GCGGAGGAAAAGAAAAUAACAAUGAUUUCCCUAGUAACGGCGAGUGAAGAGGAAAGAGCUCAAAGUUGGAACCUGUUUGGCUUAGCUAAACCGGAUUGUAAACUGUAGAAGUGUUUUCCAGACACGCCUGGUAAAAAAGUCCUUUGGAACAGGGCAUCAUAGAGGGUGAGAAUCCCGUCUUUGGCCAGAGCUGUUGUCUUUUGCGAUACAUUUUCAAAGAGUCAGGUUGUUUGGGAAUGCAGCCUAAAUUGGGUGGUAAAUCUCACCUAAAGCUAAAUAUUUGCGAGAGACCGAUAGCGAACAAGUACCGUGAGGGAAAGAUGAAAAGAACUUUGAAAAGAGAGUUAAACAGUAUGUGAAAUUGUUAAAAGGGAACCGUUUGGAGCCAGACUGGCUUGACUGUAAUCAAUCUAAGCUUCGGCUUGGAUGCACUUGCGGUCUUUGCCUGCCAACGACAAUUUUUUUUGGGGGAAAAAACUAGAUGGAAUGUAGCCCUUCGGGGUGUUAUAGACUUUUAGAAAAUACCCUGAAUUGGAUUGAGGUACGCAGUGAAUGCCUUCAUUGGCAAGAUUGCUAGGCGCUUUUGACUUUGUGUAUUAGAAUUUCUGCUUCGGGUGGUGCUAGUAUUCUUUAAAGGAGAAACUCGCUUGGUAUAUUUUUUAUUCGCUUAGGUUGUUGGCUUAAUGACUCUAAAUGAC
rnacentral:rRNA from 1 species